rnacentral:rRNA from 1 species
GCCUGCCCGGUGACGGAACAAGUUAAACGGCUGCAGUACUCUGACUGUGCAAAGGUAGCAUAAUCAUUAGCCUAUUAAUUGUAGGCUGGAAUCAAUGGCUUGACGAUAGGGGAGCUGUCUUUUUUUACAAUCCUUGAAUUUGGAGUCUGGGUAAAGAUACCUGGAUAGUUUAGUGGGACGAAAAGACCCUAUAGAGCUUUAAUUUUGGUGGUUAAUUCAAGUAGCUGGUGAGAUUUUAAUUGGGGCAAUUAUCUUUUUAAUAAAACAGAGGUUAUAAAAUAAUACUUUUACGUUUUUAUAAGUGACCCAAAAUAUUAUUGGUAGUAAGAAAAAGUUACCUUAGGGAUAACAGCGUAAUUCUUUUUGAGAGUACAUAUUGACAAAAGAGUUUGCGACCUCGAUGUUGGAUCAAGUUUUCCUAGAUGGGCAGCGCCUUCUGAGGGUUGGUUUGUUCAACCAUUAAAAACUUACGUGAUCUGAGUUCAGACCGGCA